rnacentral:tRNA from 1 species
AAGACACUAGUAAAAAAAUUACAUCUCCUUGUCAAGGAAAAAUUGCGGGUUAGACUCCCGCGUGCCUUA